GACGAACGCUGGCGGCGUGCUUAACACAUGCAAGUCGAACGGAAAGGCCCUGCUUUUGUGGGGUGCUCGAGUGGCGAACGGGUGAGUAACACGUGAGUAACCUGCCCUUGACUUUGGGAUAACUUCAGGAAACUGGGGCUAAUACCGGGUAGGAGCUCCUGCUGCAUGUUGGGGGUUGGAAAGUUUCGGCGGUUGGGGAUGGACUCGCGGCUUAUCAGCUUGUUGGUGGGGUAGUGGCUUACCAAGGCUUUGACGGGUAGCCGGCCUGAGAGGGUGACCGGCCACAUUGGGACUGAGAUACGGCCCAGACUCCUACGGGAGGCAGCAGUGGGGAAUAUUGCACAAUGGGCGGAAGCCUGAUGCAGCAACGCCGCGUGCGGGAUGACGGCCUUCGGGUUGUAAACCGCUUUCGCCUGUGACGAAGCGUGAGUGACGGUAAUGGGUAAAGAAGCACCGGCUAACUACGUG
rnacentral:rRNA from 1 species